rnacentral:rRNA from 1 species
UACGGAGGGUGCGAGCGUUGUCCGGAAUCACUGGGCGUAAAGGGCGCGUAGGCGGCUGGGGAAGUCGGCGGUGAAAGCCCGGAGCUCAACUCCGGGUCGGCCGUCGAGACUCCUCGGCUCGAGCUCACUAGAGGCAGAUGGAAUUCCGGGUGUAGCGGUGGAAUGCGUAGAGAUCCGGAAGAACACCGGUGGCGAAGGCGGUCUGCUGGGGGUGAGGCUGACGCUGAUGCGCGACAGCGUGGGGAGCAAACAGG